GAAUUUGGAUCGUGGCGUCAGGUAUACGAUAUCCAUAAGGGCUAUUCUGGGGGGAAAUUACAGUGGAAGUACCGACUGCAGAACUGCACCAACAGAACCAUUGAAAAGCGAGGAGGUUCAAUUUGUGGGUUGCACCGAGCCACCUGAUCCCAACAUAACAACCGAGGUUGAUGGCGGAAAUGUAACAGUUAGAGUGCAUAAUCGACCCGAAAACUUUGACAAAUGGAGUUUGGAAUUGAAUUACCGUUGUAACAACACAUACUGUUAUGAUUAUAUCAUUGACCGCUCUCGCUACGAAAGGGCGAAUUCGACUAUUUCAAGCUACCAAUUUGAAGUAGAGCCAAUAUACGGUGUCAACUACGGAGUAGAAGUCAAUUUGUUUUUUGGCGUUGAUGGGUACACGGAAUGUGACAACAGUUGGGAAGCAGAUUCGAGAGGCGACAUGGUUUUUUCUUUUGGUUGCAACCUUGCUCCGACAGUAAGAGCUCAAGUAGAAACUGUGAAUAGGAGUUCAAUUAUAUUCCACAAUGUCGAUUGGAUACCACAUAUAGACUCAUGUA